UCCUUAGGUCGCUGGUUCGAUUCCGG
rnacentral:piRNA from 2 species